GGAUGUGAGGGCGAUCUGACUGCGACAUCUGUCACCCCACUGAUCGCCAGGGUUGAUUCGGCUCAUCUGGCUGGCUAGGGGGGUGUCCCCUCACCCCGCUCCACGUUUGUCCCUCCCCAAGCUGUGCACUUGGUUGAAGAGGAUGAUCUUCCGUGAUAGGAGGAGGACCGUCCUUCGGUCGAGUGUAAGUAGCUGCGCUCCUCGGCUAGAACCUGCACACCAGCUCUAAGGUCCAUUUCUAGGAGAAUGUAAGUAGUCAAACUUCCAAGACCCCAGACACCUUCAAAUCAGGCACUACAGGCGGCAAUCUGCCUUUCUUU
rnacentral:snRNA from 1 species